UACAGAGGUCUCAAGCGUUGUUCGGAUUCAUUGGGCGUAAAGGGUGCGUAGGCGGCGCGGUAAGUCGGGUGUGAAAUCUUGGAGCUUAACUCCGAAACUGCAUUCGAUACUGCCGUGCUUGAGGACUGGAGAGGAGACUGGAAUUUACGGUGUAGCGGUGAAAUGCGUAGAUAUCGUAAGGAAGACCAGUGGCGAAAGGCGG
rnacentral:rRNA from 1 species